rnacentral:lncRNA from 1 species
GGAAAGAUAGAGAGGGCAAACCAGGGCUGUGCAGAGGGGAUUCUGGAAAGGAAACCAGAGCCCUUCUGCCCCACCCUAAACAAGAUGAAGGACGAGAAGGUAGGCGAUCCCCAGAGACCUCUGGCUACAACCGCUGUCAGCACAGCUGGUAUCUUCCAGGGGAACAGGUACAAGAAGGCUCUGACACCGACAGAAGCCUCCUCUUCAGAGACACAAUCUGCUUCCCUGUGUCCCAACAACAAACUGCCAGAAAAGCAACGUUAGAGCAACACUUCUCCCAGAGAGGACAGAAGAUAAGUGACAAUAAAUAAAGGGGAUUUCUUAAAAUUAAGGCAGCAAGACACUGGUGCCAUUUCGAUGACGUUUCCUCCAACACACUGAAGUACACAAAUUAGUUUCCAAUUUUUUUUUUUAAUUAAAAAGGGUUUAAUUGGCCGGGCACAGUGGCUCACACCUGUAAUCCCAGCACUUCGGGAGGCCCAGGCAGGUGGAUCAUUUGAGGUUAGGAAUUCGAGAGCAGCCUGGCCAACGUGGUGAAACCUGACUCUACUAAAAACACAAAAAUUAGCCGGGUUUGGUGGCAGGUGCCUGUAAUCCCAGCUACUCGGGAGGCUGAGGCAGGAGAAUCACUUGAACCUGGGAGGCGGAGGUUGCAGUGAGCUGAGAUCACACCAUUGCACUCCAGCCUGGGGGACAGAGCGAGACUCUGUCUCAAAAAAAAAAAAAAAGGUUUAAUCCUCCUCAUCAAUCAGUACUCCUCCACACCAUCAUCUCAAGGAAGGCAGUGGGGUGUGGUGGAUCGAGCACUGGAUUAUGACUCAAAGGGCUUGGUUUUUCCCUGCUGGGAAUCUCUUCUUGGCUGUGGUCUCAUAACUGUGACUGUAGUCCUGACACUGAACUCUGAGCCCCUGAUUCAGCUGCUUACUUGCUUCAGUAAAACCUUCUUGCACUUUCUCUUCUGGUGCUGUGAAUACCUAAUGAGUUCCAUCAUUGUUGUGUCACUGAGCACGCAUGAUUAUUAAUAUCAUCAGCAAACAUUCACGGGCCCACUCAGUGAGCUGUGAGGCAGAAGAAAAUGAAUAAAACGGAAAAUACUCACUUGAAUGUAUUCACAGAAGGAUGAAACGAAUGACACAUUCGUUUUGGAGAUACAAGAACUGGCAAAAAAUGAGGACUCUGGAUGCAGCCAAUGUAAGAACAUCAUACUGUAUUAUAUUUCAAAGAUAUCAUAUUUGAGAAAAUGGUCCAGGCUGGACAUGGUGGCUCACGCCUGUAGUCCCAGCACUUUGGGAGGCCGAGGCUGGUGGAUCACUUGAG